CCUACGGGAGUCAGCAGUGGGGAAUAUUGCACAAUGGGGGAAACCCUGAUGCAGCGACGCCGCGUGAGUGAAGAAGUAUUUCGGUACGUACAGCUCUAUCAGCAGGGAAGAAAAUGACGGUACCUGACUAAGAAGCCCCGGCUAACUACGUGCCAGCAGCCGCGGUAAUACGUAGGGGGCAAGCGUUAUCCGGAUUUACUGGGUGUAAAGGGAGCGUAGACGGCAGCGCAAGUCUGGAGUGAAAUCCCAUGGCUUAACCAUGGAACUGCUUUGGAAACUGUGCAGCUAGAGUGCAGGAGAGGUAAGCGGAAUUCCUAGUGUAGCGGUGAAAUGCGUAGAUAUUAGGAGGAACACCAGUGGCGAAGGCGGCUUACUGGACUGUAACUGACGUUGAGGCUCGAAAGCGUGGGGAGCAAACAGGAUUAGAUACCCGAGUAGUC
rnacentral:rRNA from 1 species